GGGAGCUCUCCCAUAUGGUCGACCUGCAGGCGGCCGCGAAUUCACUAGUGAUUCGUAUUACCGCGGCUGCUGGCACAGAGUUAGCCGGUGCUUAUUCUGCGGGUACCGUCAUAGCAACGAGUUAUUCGCUCGUUACCUUUCUUCCCCACCUAAAGUGCUUUACAACCCGAAGGUCUUCUUCACACACGCGGCAUCGCUGGAUCAGGGUUUCCCCCAUUGUCCAAGAUUCCCCACUGCUGCCUCCCGUAGGAGUCUGGGCCGUGUCUCAGUUCCAGUGUGACUGAUCAUCCUCUCAGACCAGUUACGGAUCGUCGCCUUGGUGAGCCAUUACCCCACCAACUAGCUAAUCCGACCUAGGCUCAUCUGAUAGCGCAAGGCCCGAAGGUCCCCUGCUUUCUCCCGUAGGACGUAUGCGGUAUUAGCGUCCGUUUCCGAGCGUUAUCCCCCACUACCAGGCAGAUUCCUAGGCAUUACUCACCCGUCCGCCGCUCUCAAGAGAAGCAAGCUUCUCUCUACCGCUCGACUUGCAUGUGUUAGGCCUGCCCCCAGCGUUCAAUCUGAGCCAUGAUCAAACUCUAAUCGAAUUCCCGCGGCCGCC
rnacentral:rRNA from 1 species